rnacentral:misc_RNA from 1 species
AAAACCCUUUCACAGAUAACAUGUGGUAUUGGUAGAAGUUGAUAGUACUAACACUACUUUGUCUUACUCUACUGAAAUAAAUAGGCCAGAGAAGUGGACCAUGGUAAUAGACUCCAGGAGUGUUCUAAAAUGCUAAAUUAGUCUUAUCUAAGUCACAUUCUGAGCUACUGAACCCCCAUUUAGUUCAAACAAAAGAGG